rnacentral:rRNA from 1 species
AUUGAACGCUGGCGGAAUGCUUUACACAUGCAAGUCGAACGGCAGCACGGACUUCGGUCUGGUGGCGAGUGGCGAACGGGUGAGUAAUGUAUCGGAACGUGCCCAGUCGUGGGGGAUAACGUAGUGAAAAUUACGCUAAUACCGCAUACGAUCUAAGGAUGAAAGCGGGGGAUCGCAAGACCUCGCGCGAUUGGAGCGGCCGAUAUCAGAUUAGGUAGUUGGUGGGGUAAAGGCUCACCAAGCCAACGACCUGUAGCUGGUCUGAGAGGACGACCAGCCACACUGGAACUGAGACACGGUCCAGACCCCUACGGGAGGCAGCAGUGGGGAAUUUUGGACAAUGGACGCAAGCCUGAUCCAGCCAUUCCGCGUGCAGGAUGAAGGCCCUCGGGUUGUAAACUGCUUUUGUACAGAACGAAAAGGUUUCUACUAAUACUAGGAGCUCAUGACGGUACUGUAAGAAUAAGCACCGGCUAACUACGUGCCAGCCGCCGCCGUAA